UUUGUCACUGCUGCUUAUUACUCGUUAACGUCCACACAGGAUCAGGCAGUGCGCACAGGGCCGGCUGGCCCCAUUCUCCUUGGCUUCCCACACUAACGGGCCUUGCCCCUAUUAUAGCCCCUCCUGAGGGGUCCUCUCCCCGGCUGGACCAAGCCGGGGUGCCCCCUGAGCUCUCGUUUCCCUGGCCAGCCCUGGAGCUGAGCAGCCGGUGCGCGGCCCCGCCCGGAGGCGGGACAGAGAUGGGCGGGGAGGAGGAGGAGGAGGAGGAGGCGGGGGGGGACCUUUGGUGCCGCGGAACCUUCGUGCGGGCCCUCGCGGGUCCGCCGGGGGAGCAGCGUGAGACGCCGGUCGCUAUGGCAGCGGGGUGGUGGGGCUGGGGGCCGCCGGUACUGCCGGUCCUGGUCCUGGUCCUGGUCCUGGUGCUGCUCGGGGGCGCCCGCCGCCUGCGCAGCCAUUUCGCGGCCGCCCCGAGGGGAAGCGCGGCGGGGGAGGCCGCUGGCGCCCGCGCCUUGGUGCUGACGGCGCACCCUGAUGACGAGGCCAUGUUCUUCGCCCCCACGCUGCUCGCCUUGGGCAGGGCCGGCGGCCGCCCCGCGGUGCUGUGCUGCUCCGCAGGAAACUACUACAAUCAAGGAGAGAUUCGUAAGAAAGAACUGGAACAGAGUUGUUCUCUUUUGGGAAUUCCUGCUUCCAAUGUAACAGUUGUUGAUCACAGGGAUCUUCCAGAUAAUCCUUCUGUUGAAUGGGACACACAGCUCCUCGCUGCCUUUGUGCUGAAGCAUAUAGAAGACAAUAACAUCAACCUGGUGGUAAGCUUUGAUGCGGGAGGAGUGAGUGGUCAUGCUAACCACAUUUCUCUUUACACUGCUUUAAGGUACCUGCAUUCAGAGCAGAAGUUACCUGAAGGGUGCCGUGUGCUUGUACUUGAGUCAGUAAAUCCGUUCCGAAAGUACCUCUCGGUCCUGGAUGUCCCCCUGUCCUGCCUCCUGCCCAGCGAUGCACUCUUCAUACUCACAGAGGAGGAGACUGAGCAAGCCAGGAGAGCCAUGCGGUGUCAUCGCAGCCAGCUGCUCUGGUUUCGCCGUGUCUAUAUGCUUUUCUCACGUUAUAUGGUGAUCAAUUCACUCCGUCUUCUGUAAAAGACGACGCUCACAACUUCAAGAGUGAAAGAAUGAGCCAAAAAAGACUGUGCCAGUGGUUACUGGAGGAAACUCAACUGUUACAUACUCAAGAGGACAGGAUUCUCUCUAUGUAGCAUUCUUUCAGACUACAAAAACAGACAUGGGGCUUGAGAUCAACUCAGAAAAGUCUCAACACGAUGUAAGAAUGAGUUGCAAGAGACCUUUUGUAGAACAUAUAUGGAGAUAUAAAAAUUGCAAGAGAUGUUUCAAAAGCAGUUCAACUUACCUAAAAGACAACUGCAAGAUCUUCUCCCUUCACGUUAAAAGGAGGCAUCUUCCAUGCAUCUGCACUGCUAGUCAUUGCAUAGUCAAGAUUAGAGCCCAGAUUGCAGAUCCUGAUCUGUUGCUGUGAGCGCAUCCCCCUCCUCCUGCUGAAGACAACAGCUGUAAAAGAAAGAGAAGACCUUUCUAGAAGCAGCAGACAAGUUGUAGUGCAGCAAUCAGAUCUAGCUCAGACCUCUUGACAACUGAAAUUCCACUGACAGCUAAAACGGCUCCUUGUUGGCAUCAGAGGUAAGUGGCAAAAGUGGACUCAAGGUAGCAGUGUUUGGCUAAGCAUGCCUAUGGAACAGACUAACCCUACGCAGGUAAACCAAUAGGGUAUUUGCUCAGAGCAAACAUUAUAUGCUAUUUUUAUUUGCAUAUGCAAUUCUCAAUAGACAUAUCAAGGACAAACUGUAGCCCCGAGAAAUCCAUUUAAUCUUUUAUACCAGAGUUUGCCAACUUUGCCAACAUUAAUUACCUUGCAAACAUGGAAGUGAGAUACAGAGCCUACUCGUGAGCUGGAUGCAAACUAAUUGCAGGCAAGGGGAGGAAUCACUGCUGAAAUCGGACACUGUUGUAGUUUGAAGCACAUCUGGUCAGAAAUGUAAUGUUCACUUGAGAAGACCAAGUUAAAAAAAGGAUUGAUGUGCUUUGAGUACGCUGUACUUAGAAGAAACAUAACGCAGAUGGCUGAGCACCUGUAGUCAUCAGAUCUUUCCCAACGCUUUCUGCAUGAGCAUGGAUGUGAGACCUGAAGUCCAGCCCACAGAUGCAGCAUCUGAAAUCUCCAGCACUGAUCCCAUAUUGGAUCAGGACAUAAUUAGACAUCCACUCUAUGGAAACAGAUCAGAGGAUGUUCUGCAGUUGUUUUAUGUUGUUUUCGCUGUAAAGCAUUGAUUGGAAAAGCGUAUGAGCUUGUAUUCAUCUAUGAGAAUAGGGAACCAAAAA